rnacentral:rRNA from 1 species
AGAGUUUGAUCAUGGCUCAGGAUGAACGCUGGCGGCGUGCCUAAUACAUGCAAGUCGAACGGAGAGCAGCAAUGCUCUGAGCGGCGAACGGGUGAGUAACGCGUUGGUGACCUGCCCCGGAGUGAGGGAUACCAGGCCGAAAGGCUUGCUAAUACCGCAUGAGCAAAGAAGGGUUAGAGGCUUCUUUGUAAAGGAGUAAUUCGCUCUGGGAGGGGCCUGCGACCCAUCAGCUAGUUGGUAAGGUAACGGCCUACCAAGGCGAUGACGGGUAGGGGACCUGAGAGGGUGGCCCCCCACAAUGGAACUGAAACACGGUCCAUACACCUACGGGUGGCAGCAGUAGGGAAUAUUGCAUAAUGGGCGCAAGCCUGGUGCAGCAACGCCGCGUGUGCGAUGAAGGCCUUCGGGUUGUAAAGCACUUUUGAUCGGGAAGAGGAAGGACGGUACCGGUCGAAUAAGCCUCGGCUAACUACGUGCCAGCAGCCGCGGUAAAACGUGGGAGGCGAGCGUUAUCCGGAUUUACUGGGUGUAAAGCGCGUGCAGGCGGUUGACUAAGUUGGAUGUGAAAGCUCCUGGCUCAACUGGGAGAGGUCGUUCAAGACUGGUCGACUGGAGAGCAGUAAGGGAAGGUGGAAUUCCGGGUGUAGUGGUGAAAUGCGUAGAUAUCCGGAGGAACACCAGUGGCGAAAGCGGCCUUCUGGACUGUAUCUGACGCUCAGACGCGAAAGCUAGGGGAGCAAACGGGAUUAGAGACCCCGGUAGUCCUAGCUGUAAACGAUGUGAACUUGGCGCUGGUUGGGUAAACCGAUCAGUGCCGGAGCAAACGCGGUAAGUUCACCACCUGAGGACUACGGCCGCAAGGUUAAAACUCAAAUGAAUUGACGG